rnacentral:lncRNA from 10 species
UUUCUGGGCCCAGUUCAGCACUAGGACUUAAGAGUUGUAGUCCCUGUGGCCUAGACUGCCUAUCAAGUUUGCUUUGAAAUCCAGAGCACUUUGGCCCUGGGUGGCAAGGUCUGCACGAACUCAAGUUCCACCCAUUGGGAUACAAGAUUCCCCUCUGGCUAGGACUGGUUUAAAUGCUCCCUCUGUGGGUGGGUGUCAGCUGAGUUUUAUUCUAUAGGGACAGCACUGAUUUUAUGUAACAUUUUUUCAAUAAAUGUUAAUUAUAUAAUAUUAUAUAUAAUAAAUUGCUAAUGGUAUUACCUGGAUAUGUUAUGCCUGUGUAAAACUUUUAAUGUAUAUUUAAAGCGAUAUUUAUUUUAAAAUGUAUUAUACAAAUAUGUUUCCUGGAACAUUGUUUAAUGCCACAAAAUGGGAAACAAUUAAAAUGCACAUCAAAUAUGAGAUUGGUUAAAUAAAUGAAAACAUAUACUUAAGCGGUGAAGUGACAGCAUCUGAUGGAGAGCAGUGGGCUCUAAUUACAACAAACUCUAGAGGUAAUUUUCUGUCUACCUGUCAUAGAUAUUUUCUACAAUGAACAUGCAUUCUUUAAUAAAAUAUAAUACAGUAAAUAUUACUUUAAAAAGUAAUUGUUGCUUAUGGAUGAAUAUCUCUAAAGCACUUCAAGUUCUUAUUUCAGAACCUAUCCCACUUGUCAGCUCUGUUCCAGUCUGGCUCCUUGCUUUAAGGUCUCCUUCCCCUAACCUUUCCUUUUCUCUCCCUUUCUCUCUCUCUUCCUUCCUGUUUGAAUCUUACAGGGGUACCAAAAAAGCCUAUGAACUUAAAAGGGA